rnacentral:rRNA from 1 species
UGGGGAAUUUUCCGCAAUGGGCGAAAGCCUGACGGAGCAACGCCGCGUGAGGGAUGAAGGCCUCUGGGCUGUAAACCUCUUUUCUCAAGGAAGAAGAUCUGACGGUACUUGAGGAAUAAGCCACGGCUAAUUCCGUGCCAGCAGCCGCGGUAAUACGGGAGUGGCAAGCGUUAUCCGGAAUUAUUGGGCGUAAAGCGUCCGCAGGCGGCCUUGUAAGUCUGUCGUUAAAGCGUGGAGCUUAACUCCAUUUCAGCGGUGGAAACUACAAGGCUUGAGUGUGGUAGGGGCAGAGGGAAUUCCCGGUGUAGCGGUGAAAUGCGUAGAUAUCGGGAAGAACACCAGUGGCGAAGGCGCUCUGCUGGGCCAUAACUGACGCUCAUGGACGAAAGCCAGGGGAGCGAAAGGG